GUUAUCUGCCGACAGGGCCGGAGCUCGCGCAGUCAGCGCAGCUCAUCGACAUCUCCGGCGACAAGAUGAAGAUGCUUCUCGAUUUCCCGACGGUUGGCGAGCCACACUAUGCGCAGGCGCUUCCCGCGGACAUGAUCAAAAACAAGAGCCUCAAGUUCUUCAAGCUCGCGGAUAACAAGAAUCCGAACAUCACCGCGUCAGAGGCUGCAGGUGGAAUUCGGCGUGAUGGAAAGCGCAUUCAUGUCAACAUGAUUGCGAUUCGAAGUCACUUUGCCCCCGACAAUCUCGAGGGAAUUCAGCUUGGUGACACCGUGUAUUUCCAUGUCACCAACA
rnacentral:rRNA from 1 species